CUUAGCUAUAAAAACUGAUCAAAUAAUUUGUUUGUUUGUUAGAUGCAAAAGAAAAAAAAGUAUGGCAAAAACUCUUAAGUUUGUUUGUGUUGUAGUGAUCCUCUUUCUUUUCCUAAUUCUUGUUGCUGCUGAAAUGGAUGAACUUAGAUGGUCGUGUACAGAAGACAAACAUUGUCCAAUGUGCAAAUCUCCUCAAUUUAUGGCGUGCAUUGAUUAUAAAUGUUCUUGUUGGUAACAAUUAUAGUUAUUUAGUUAUGAUGUUUAUGUGUAUUUUGAUGUAGACUAUUAGAUGUUGUUGUGAUUUUUAUGUAAGCAAUUUAUGUUAAUUAAGUUAUGUUUGAAGUUAAAUUAGUUGUUAUGUGAUAUGUAAUGAUUAUUGUGUGAUUUUGUAUUGAUCCGAAGAUUUCUGGUUUCCGAAAUCGAUUUUAAGUUUAGCACAUUCAAUUUCUCAAUUAAAGACUAGAAAAUCUGGAAAACAAAGAAUGAAGAGCCAACCAAAGUAACAAAGUAUUUAAAAAUUAUCAAAAUUCACCUGGCGAGCAGAGCCAUUAGCCUGGAAAAUUGAAAUAGAUAGCAAGAAUAUGGCAACAGGGAAAAUUUGACACAAUGAACUUCCCUUCUUCUGGAGAAUUAUGGCGGUUCAAUGACCCACGUAGAUGAUCUGGAAAAUACAUGAAGCUGAAGAAAUGUCAAUUAACCUAGUAAGCAUGUAAUUUGCAGGUGGGAAUUCACUUUUUCAAAAUCACUUUGUAAAAUUGAGAAAAAUACAGAGAUAGUAGCGAUAAGCUUCAUGAUGACAUUCUGUCAUUACUCUUUUAGUAGACAUUUUUCAUGUAAUUUUAGGAGUUAUUUAUUGGAAUUCAUGGAGCUGCAAGCCACAAAAGACAAAGAAAAUGAAGUUUGAAGUAUUGGAAAUCGGCCACCGAUUUUGCUGCCAUUUUGCAGACUUUGGAAUUCGACAAAAAUCGGCCGCCGAUAAGCAUACAUCGGGCGCCGAUUUCGCACCACCGGGCCACGCAUUUGAGAUUUCGGCCACCGAUUUUGGAGCUCGGUGGCCGAUUUUUACUUGCCUAUAAAUAUAAAGAGGUGUUUUCUGAUUAAGGGUUCACGAAUUUUGAGACCUAAAAGCAUAUUUUGGAGCAGAGACUUUGGAGAUCUGGUGGGCAACCAUCAAAACUAAUAGUCAAUCAUCCAUUACAUUGCCAUACUUCAAAGGAAGUUGCCUCCAAAGCUUAAAGACCCAGGUGCAUUCACCAUACCUUGCACCAUUGGGAAGGUAAGCGUGGGAAACGCCUUGUGUGACUUGGGGGCUAGCAUUAAUCUUAUGCUCUUAGCCAUGAUGAAGAAGCUAGGAUGUGGGGAACCUAAACCUACAAUGAUGACGCUUACUCUAGCUGAUCGUUCUAUUUCUUAUCCUUAUGGAGUGCUGGAAGAUGUUUUAGUAAAGGUGAAUGAUUUACUUUUCCCCGCUGAUUUUGUGAUUCUUGAUAUGGAGGAAGAUGACGAACUUCCUUUGUUGUUGGGAAGACAGUUUCUAGCAACCGGUAGAGCACUCUUUGAUGUGGAGAUGGGAGAAUUGAUGCUUCGUUUUCAAGAUGAACAAGUUGUGUUUAAUAUUUUCGAAGCUAUGAAACAUAGAAGUGAAAAUCCACAAUGUUACCGAGUUGAUGUGGUGGACCAUAUUGUUGAAGAAACCACAACUAAGGAGUCUCCAGCUCCAACUUUAGAAAGGGUGAUUGUAAAUUCGAUUGAAAGCAAU